UACGGAGGGUGCAAGCGUUAAUCGGAAUUACUGAGCGUAAAGCGCACGCAGGUGGCUGAGAAAGUCGAUUGUGAAAGCCCCGGGCUUAACCUGGGAAUGGCAUUGAGGACUGUGGAGCUCGAGUGCGGCAGAGGGAGGUGGAAUUCCACGUGUAGCAGUGAAAUGCGUAGAGAUGUGGAGGAACACCGGUGGCGAAGGCGGCAUCCUGGACCGGCAUUGACGCUGGGGAGCGAAAGCCAGGGGAGCAAACGGG
rnacentral:rRNA from 1 species